rnacentral:rRNA from 1 species
AAUAGAUACCCCGGUAGUCCACGCCGUAAACGAUGAGUGCUAAGUGUUAGGGGGUUUCCGCCCCUUAGUGCUGCAGCUAACGCAUUAAGCACUCCGCCUGGGGAGUACGGCCGCAAGGCUGAAACUCAAAGGAAUUGACGGGGGCCCGCACAAGCGGUGGAGCAUGUGGUUUAAUUCGAAGCAACGCGAAGAACCUUACCAGGUCUUGACAUCUCCUGACCGCCCUGGAGACAGGGUCUUCCCUUCGGGGACAGGAUGACAGGUGGUGCAUGGUUGUCGUCAGCUCGUGUCGUGAGAUGUUGGGUUAAGUCCCGCAACGAGCGCAACCCUUGUCCUUAGUUGCCAGCAUUCAGUUGGGCACUCUAAGGAGACUGCCGGCUAAAAGUCGGAGGAAGGUGGGGAUGACGUCAAAUCAUCAUGCCCCUUAUGACCUGGGCUACACACGUGCUACAAUGGGCGGUACAGAGGGUCGCGAACCCGCGAGGGGGAGCCAAUCCCAAAAAACCGCUCUCAGUUCGGAUUGCAGGCUGCAACCUCG